ACGCUUGAAGUCAGUCGCGUUGGCCGGAAAUCAGCCUUCCUUUUGGUUGGUGUACUUUCUGGUUGACGGGCCAGCAUCAGUUUUGACCGAUGGAAAAAGUUGUGAGGAAUGUGGCAUCUUCGGGUGUGUUAUAGCCUCGCUUCGUAUACAUCGGUUGGGACUGAGGAACUCAGCACGCCGAAAGGCCGGGGCUCGCCCACGUUCGUGCUUAGGAUGCUGGCAUAAUGGCUUUAAUCGACCCGUCUUGAAACACGGACCAAGGAGUC
rnacentral:rRNA from 1 species